AUUGAACGCUGGCGGCAGGCCUAACACAUGCCAGUCGAACGGUAGCACAGAGAGCUUGCUCUCGGGUGACGAGUGGCGGACGGGUGAGUAAUGUCUGGGAAACUGCCCGAUGGAGGGGGAUAACUACUGGAAACGGUAGCUAAUACCGCAUAAUGUCGCAAGACCAAAGAGGGGGACCUUCGGGCCUCUUGCCAUCGGAUGUGCCCAGAUGGGAUUAGCUUGUUGGUGAGGUAAUGGCUCACCAAGGCGACGAUCCCUAGCUGGUCUGAGAGGAUGACCAGCCACACUGGAACUGAGACACGGUCCAGACUCCUACGGGAGGCAGCAGUGGGGAAUAUUGCACAAUGGGCGCAAGCCUGAUGCAGCCAUGCCGCGUGUGUGAAGAAGGCCUUCGGGUUGUAAAGCACUUUCAGCGGGGAGGAAGGCAAUGCGGUUAAUAACCGUGUUGAUUGACGUUACCCGCAGAAGAAGCACCGGCUAACUCCGUG
rnacentral:rRNA from 1 species